rnacentral:rRNA from 1 species
ACGGAAGGCAGCAGUGGGGAAUAUUGGGCAAUGGGCGCAAGCCUGACCCAGCAACGCCGCGUGAAGGAUGAAGGUCUUCGGAUUGUAAACUUCUUUGAUCAGGGACGAAUAAAUGACGGUACCUGAAGAACAAGUCACGGCUAACUACGUGCCAGCAGCCGCGGUAAUACGUAGGUGACAAGCGUUAUCCGGAUUUACUGGGUGUAAAGGGCGUGUAGGCGGUUUGGCAAGUCAGAAGUGAAAUUCCCGGGCUUAACUUGGGCGCUGCUUCUGAAACUGCUUUACUUGAGUACUGGAGAGGAUAGUGGAAUUCCUAGUGUAGCUGUAAAAUGCGUAGAUAUAAGGAAGAACACCAGUGGCGAAGGCGAUCUACUGGACAGUAACUGACGCUGAGGCGCGAAAGCGUGGGGAGCAAACAGGAUUAGAUACCCUGGUA